rnacentral:lncRNA from 1 species
GUUUCAAUGAAGAAUAAACAAGCAAAAUAUGGGGAAAAUUGAAAGAACAGCAGAUGUUCAACAAGCAUAAAUUUACAACGGAAAUUGGACUAAUUGAAACAAUAGUAGAACAGGAAAAACAACAAGUUGAUUAAAAAAAGACUUGGCUGAUGCUACAAUUUGAAUCCUUAAGCUGAGUGAGGACUGAGAAGUAUCAUAUCCUCAAAAUACUGAGCUCGUGUAUAUCCAUUCCUGCAUUAGAACCAAUUGAAACUUUUGUACUUAUUAUAACAUCACUAUGAAUCCCACAAUUUGAUUUCUCUAAUAUUUCAUAUGUUGAAAAUUUAUAGGCUUAACUACACAUUUUGAUCCCUUACGUUUAUUUUAGGUUUUAAUUUGGUCUCUUACGUUUAAAAAGUAUCAAUUUUGUCCCUUACGUUUAUUUUAGGUUUCAAGUUAGUCAUUUCCGUUAGUUUUGCCACUAACACCGUUUGAACAGUAUACGCGUCAGUGUGUCC